rnacentral:misc_RNA from 1 species
CCCUAUACCAUCGGGGGGUCGGCGUUGGAGGUUGCGGCACCCAUCAGGGGAAGCCCUCUCUCCUUCCCGCCCUGUCUGGAUAUACCCAUGAUUUUUGCGUACCCAUUGUUUCCUCGGCAGGCUUGCUUGCCAGUAGGACAUUUUUCAACCUUUUGUAAUUGCAGUCAGUGUCAGAAAAACUUAAUAGUUA